GCGGUGUGGUGCUUUGUCUCAGCGGUCGUGAUUGGCGGCAUGUCGUUGUAGGCCCCCUUGAUUGGGACGUCAGAGCGGGCGCAAGACCCAUGACGACGGUUGCCGCGGUCAAUGCUUUGCUGGCACGUCGAGUCGGGUUGUUUGAGAGUACAACCCAAAGCGGAUGGUAUAUCCCAUCUAAGGCUAAACAUUGCUCUGAGACCGAUAGCGAACAAACAAAGUGAGGGAAAGUUGAAAAGUACUCUGAAAAGAGAGUUAAACAGGACGUGAAACCGUUCAAAAGAAAACUGACGGAGCUGUCGUUGUU
rnacentral:rRNA from 1 species